rnacentral:rRNA from 1 species
GAUGAACGCUGGCGGCGUGCCUAAUACAUGCAAGUCGAGCGAAUGGAUUAAGAGCUUGCUCUUAUGAAGUUAGCGGCGGACGGGUGAGUAACACGUGGGUAACCUGCCCAUAAGACUGGGAUAACUCCGGGAAACGGGGGCUAAUACCGGAUAACAUUUUGAACCGCAUGGGUCGAAACUGAAAGGCCGCUGCGGCUGUCAAUUAUGGAUGGACCUGCGUCGCAUUAGCUAGUUGGUGAGGUAACGGCUCACCAAGGCAACGAUGCGUAGCCGACCUGAGAGGGUGAUCGGCCACACUGGGACUGAGACACGGCCCAGACUCCUACGGGAGGCAGCAGUAGGGAAUCUUCCGCAAUGGACGAGAGUCUGACGGAGCAACGCCGCGUGAGUGAUGAAGGCUUUCGGGUCGUAAAACUCUGUUGUUAGGGAAGAACAAGUGCUAGUUGAAUAAGCUGGCACCUUGACGGUACCUAACCAGAAAGCCACGGCUAACUACGUGCCAGCCGCCGCAGUAA